rnacentral:rRNA from 1 species
CAGCCGCCGCGGGAAUACGAAGGGUGCAAGCGUUAAUCGGAAUUACUGGGCGUAAAGCGUGCGUAGGCGGUUUCUUAAGUCUGCUGUGAAAUCCCCGAGCUCAACCUGGGAAUGGCAAUGGAUACUGGCGAGCUAGAGUGUGUCAGAGGAUGGUGGAAUUCCCGGUGUAGCGGUGAAAUGCGUAGAGAUCGGGAGGAACAUCAGUGGCGAAGGCGGCCAUCUGGGACAACACUGACGCUGAGGUACGAAAGCGUGGGGAGCAAACAGGAUUAGAUACCCGCGUAGUCCCUGUCUCUUAUAC